GUUGAAGGUGCGCCCCGUGCCUGAAGACGUUCCCUGUGCCUGAAGCCGCUCCCUGUUACUGAAGCCUUGCCUCUUGCCUGAAACAGUUCCACGUGCCUGUACUCAAGCCCCUUGCCUGAAGGCAAAACCCACACCUGAAGAGUUCACUGUGCAUGAUGGGGAGCCUCUUGUUGAAAGGCACAUGUGCUCCCCUUGCCUGAAUGGCACAGGAGAUCCAGGUGCCUGAAGUCGCGCCGCAUGCCUUAAGAAGCUCCCCGUGCCUGAAGACAAGGCCCAUGCCAGAAGGCGCUCCCCUGACUCAAGGUCACAGGUACUCCCUGAAGUCUUGCCAAUGCCUGACUGAGCGCCCCUUACCUGAGUGUGCCCUAUGUCUGAUGGUGAGCCCAGUGCCUGAUGGCCCUCCCAGUGCCUGAAGAACACAGAGGCUCCCCUUGCCUGAAGUCGUGCCCUGUGCAUGUAGCCUCUCACUGUAACUGAAGGUGCUCCCAGUGCCUGAAGACAAGCUCCAUGGUUGAAGGUGCGCCCUGUGCCUGGAAAGUUUCCCUGUGCCUGAAGCAGCUCCCUGUUCCCGAAGGCAUGCCUCUUGCCUGAAACAGCUCCAUGUGCAAUUACUCAAGCCCCUUGCCUGAAGGCAACCCUCCUACCUGAAGCCUUGCCCCUUACAUGAAGCCCCGCCCAGUUUCUGCAGGCAAGCCCCUUGCCUGAAGGCACGCCCAAUGUCUGAAGUCUUGCCCCACGCCUGAAUUCUCACCCUGUGCCUGUUGGUUAGCCCACUGCCUGAAGGGCACAGGCAUGCCCAGUGCCUGAGGGCAAGCCCAGUGACUGAAGUCAGUCGCCCCCAAUGGCUGAAGUCAUGCCCAGUGAAUGAAGUCAUUCCCAAAGCCACUCCCAGGGACUGAAGUCAAAGUCACUCCCAGUGAAGGAAGUUACUCCCAAAGUCACUCCCAAUGAGGGAAGCCCCUCCUGUGGUCACUCCCCAUGAUGGAAGUCACUCCAGAUAUCACUCCCAGUGACUGAAGUCACUGGCGAAGUCACUCCCAGUGAAGGAAUUCCCUCUGGAAGUCACUCCAGGUGAGGAAAGUCACUCCAGAAGCCACUCCCAGUGACUGAAGUCAAAGUCACACUCAGUGUCUGCAGUUACUCCUAGUGACUGCAGUCCUCACUCCCAGUGACUGAAGUCUUCACUGCCAGUGCCUGAAGUAGGCACUCCCAGUGCCUGAAGGAAUUGCAGGGGAAGGACAGAGAGAGAGGGAGACACAGAAUUCCAAGCAGCGUCCAGGCUCUGUGGUCUCAGCACAGAAACUCCCGGGGAAGGUCAGAGAGAGAGAGAGGGAGAUACAGAAUCGCAAGCAGCCUCUCCUAGCUCUGUCGUGGGAUCACAGAACCUCCAGUGCUCUGCCCCUGGCUUAAUCUUGUCCUCAGCACAGUUCUGGACACAGACAUGGACACUCCCAUUUUACUGAAGGAAACCAGCCCAGGCUCACACAGCUGGAGUCCUCAGGAGAUCCCUAUUGAGUCAGCUGGAUUUCUUCUCUGACGACCACCCUCUCCCCCCGGAGAAUCAAGUAUAUGAAGGUUCACCUCUCCCUUAAUGAAGUUGAUACCAAGGGAGUGAAAUCAAAGUCCGAAAAACAGCCUCUGCAGAAAGAAAAUGCUCAGCUUAAGAUCCAAAAGAAUCAGGAAGCUGGGACUGAAAGAAUGGGAGCAGUGGAAGGGGAGAAGCAGCUGUCAGCCACAGAGGAGAAAGUGAAAUUAGCUGCAGAAGAGCUUCGGAACUACAAACUAUGUGGAAAUGGUUCCUGAACAUGUUUCUCGAGGUCCUGGAAAUGAUUACACACCUCAGGAAGCAGUUUGGUCAAGGACAAAUCACAUCGACAAGUAUGAAGAUCCCAUUUUAGAGACGCACUUGUUGUAACCAUGAGAAAUAUGAUAAGGAUACAAGGAAAAGAAGAUUUGAGCUUUACAAUGAAAGAUCCUCACUGCAGAAUUAGAGAGCUGUCACCACAGUUAAGGAAACCGUGUCAAUGUGGAGCCCCACAGGCAUUAAAUAAUAAAUCCAAGAUGAUGUAGUGAUGGCUUUGAGAUUUCUGUACUCUCCUCCUCAUGUGAAAUGUGUCUUCUAUGAUUGGGUCGUAUGUAUGAGAAUUCAGUUCUUGUGAUGGGAAACUGGGCCAAUUAACAUCACGCUCAACAUGGUGCUUCAUCUGAUGAAAGCCAUUGCACGCCCAGGAGAAGAAUAGAAGAAACACAAGAACAGCUGCAGCAGUCAGAGCUCACCUUCAGACACCAGGUAGCCUGCACUCUGCCUAGUAGUUCCUAAGUGCUUCAGCACCUAACGCAGAUGAUCAUAACGGGACACUGAAUCUCUCCACAUGGGUUUUAUUGAUGUGCUGACUGUUUCUGAUUGCUCUUUGUGACAAGGCAUUUCAGGACAACUGGGUAAGAAUGUUUCCUCUCCUCCUCUUGUGCACACCCCGCCACAACUAAACGUAGAUGUGUUUCUCUCUCGAGUUCGGGGCUCAUGAUCUGGAGAAGGCAGUGGCGGAGCAGAGCAGGGAGGUUGCCUACUUGAAAUGCAGGUACAGGAUUUUGGCAUAUUUCUUUUAAGGGCGCUGUGACGUUUUAAAAAAGGCUAAACCAUUUGGUGUCCAAUGGAGGCCUGGUUGUGGUAACUCUUAGUGAAAUUGACUCAUCUCGAUCUUUAAGACUGGAAGUCAUCCAAAGACAGAGGCUUCUAGAGGAAUUCAGGAGGCACAAGCCAAUGGCACGGGGACCUGACAAGGAGAUCCCUCCAUGGAGAGAUUCAAAAUUGUUUUAAGGGAGAAAUCCUGUCACAAAUACGGAGGAACAGGAGUCACUUUCAGUUUGGAAGUAAAGACACCAAAUGUUGACUCUCAGGACCUUCUAGAAGAAUCAGCUGGGACCCACUCUCCAAGUCCUGCUGGAAGCAGAGCCAGAGAAUUCUCAGAAUGAGAAAUAGGACAGGAAAGACCUAUUGAAGCUUCUCUGAUGAGUCACUGGAUUUGCAUGCGUGGAGGAUACAUUUGGGACUGAAAUGAACAACCUACCUUUAAUUUCAAAGAACUAGAAAAGGACAACAAUCUACGUGCAAUGUUCUCAAAACGGAGAAAGGAAUACAUAUGAGAGUGGAAACCAAUGAAACUGAGACCAUGAAAUCAAUAGAAAAUAUGAAGAAGACCAACAGUGGGUUUUCGGGAGAGUGAAACAAAAUUGUCAAGACUAUACAUAGACUAUGCUAAGACAGAGAGACGACCCAAUUCAAAAUAUCUAUAAAUAAAAGAGAAGACAUUACACCUGAUACCGAAGAAAUAUAAAGGAGACAAAGAGGUGACUAUGCGCAAACUAGAUGCCAGCAAACCACUUACCUAGAAGAAAUGGAUAGGUUCUUAGAAACACACAACCUACCGAGACUGUAUCAGGAAGAUAUAGAAGGUUUGCACAGACCCAUUAAAGGAAGACUGCAUCAAUACAAGAAGAUAACCAAUGCAAGUAAAUUGAGUUAGUAAUGGAAAUUCUCUCAGGGAAGAAAAGCCCAGGAACAGGUGCAUUCACUGGUGAAUUUGAACAACGGUUGUAGAAGAAACUAACAGCAGUCCUCUCACUGAUUAAAAAGGGAUAAACACCUCCAAACUCAUUUCAUGAGACUGGAAUUACCCUGGUAGGAAGCCAGAAAAGGAUACUACUUGAACAGAAAACUAUAGGCCAGUAUCCCCGUGAUGAAUAGAGAUGAAUAAUUCCCAAUAAUAUACAAGCAAACCAAAUUCAGCAUCACCUUAAAAGGAUCAUUGACCGUGAUGAAGGGCUUUUUUCCCUGUAAAGGAAGGAUGUUUCAGAAAUGCAAAUCAAUAAAUGUGACUCCUCACAUACUUGAAUGAAAAAAAAAAUCAACCAGAAACCAGAAUCUUAAGUAGAAAUAGCAAAGGCAGGGUUACUAGAAGGGAGGUGGGCAGGGGGAUGGGUUUAAUGGGUGACGGGCUAAGGAGGGCGCUAGUAGUGAGGAACACUUGGUGUUGUAUGUAAGUGAUGGAUGACUACAUUCUAUACCUGAAACUAACACUACACUGUAUGUUAACCAACUGGAAUCUAAUUAAAAACUUGAACAAAUAAAUUCUAAAGAAAUACAUAAAUAAAUUUAACCUAAAAUAAAUAAAUACAUUUUAAAAAUUAAAGAGAAAACUCAUGUGACGAUGUCAAUAGACACAGAAAAAAAGUUCUGAGAAAAUUUGGUAUCCAUUUGUGCUAAAAAUCUCUUUAGAAUUCUGUGUAGAAGGAACAUAUCUCAACAUAAGAAAGGCCAUGUAUGUGAAGCCCACAGCUAACAUCAUACUCAAUAGUGAGAUUGUGAAAGAUUUUCCUCUAAGAUGAGGCACAAGACAAGGAUGCCCUAGAUAUGUGAAGGGGAUUGGUUGAUGCAGGUUUCUGUUUAUGGAAUGAAUAAAUCGCAGGUAGAAGACAUAGCAUAGGGAAAAUAGAGAAUGGUAUUGGAGUGGUGAUGCAUGGUGAGAGAUGACAGCUACACCUGUGUUAGCGUAGCACCAUGUAUACACUUGUCCACUCACUAUGUUGUUCAUCUGAGACUAAUGUAACACAGUGUGUCAGCUAUUCCCAAAUAACAUGAUUUUUUUAAAAAAUAAGGUAAAGGAAUGAAAUAAAAAGUUUAAUGUAAAAGAACCUGUUCAUAUCUAAUCAAGAAAUGCAA